UACAGAGGUCUCAAGCGUUGUUCGGAUUCAUUGGGCGUAAAGAGCGUGUAGGCGGUCCUGUAAGUCCGCUGUGAAAGUCAAGGGCUCAACCCUUGAAUGCCGGUGGAUACUGCAGGACUAGAGUCCGGAAGAGGCGAGUGGAAUUCCUGGUGUAGCGGUGAAAUGCGCAGAUAUCAGGAGGAACACCGAUGGCGAAGGCAGCUCGCUGGGACGGUACUGACGCUGAGACGCGAAAGCGUGGGGAGCAAACGGG
rnacentral:rRNA from 1 species